GGGGGUAGAUGGGUGCUGGUGUGUCCUCUAGUCUUCAAAACUAGCGCGAGGGGUUAGGAGCCUCUUGGGUGGGUUCGAUUCCCACGUACUCCCGCCA
rnacentral:tRNA from 1 species